rnacentral:rRNA from 1 species
AAUGAACGCUGGCGGCGCGCCUAAUACAUGCAAGUCGAGCGAGAAGACGUAGCAAUACGUUCGUAAAGCGGCGAACGGGUGAGGAAUACAUGGGUAACCUACCCUAGAGUGGGGAAUAACUAGCCGAAAGGUUAGCUAAUACCGCGUACGCUCCUUGGACUUCGGUUCAGGGAGGAAAGCGAUGCCGAGGGUAUCGCGCUCUUGGAUGGGCUCAUGUCCUAUCAGCUGUUGGUGAGGUAACGGCUCACCAAGGCUUCGACGGGUAGCUGGUCUGAGAGGACGAUCAGCCACACUGGCACUGCGACACGGGCCAGACUCCUACGGGAGGCAGC